UACGUAGGGUCCGAGCGUUGUCCGGAAUUAUUGGGCGUAAAGAGCUCGUAGGCGGUCUGUUGCGUCGGUUGUGAAAACCUGGGGCUCAACUCCAGGCCUGCAAUCGAUACGGGCAGACUAGAGUUCGGUAGGGGAGACUGGAAUUCCUGGUGUAGCGGUGAAAUGCGCAGAUAUCAGGAGGAACACCGGUGGCGAAGGCGGCGCUCUGGACCGAUACUGACGCUGAGGCGCGAAAGCGUGGGGAGCAAACAGG
rnacentral:rRNA from 1 species